rnacentral:tRNA from 1 species
GGUAGCGUGGCCGAGCGGUCUAAGGCGCUGCUUUGAGGCACCAGACUCUUCGGAGGCGUGGGUUCGAAUCCUACCGCUGCCA